AUGGUCUUCACCUUUAUCACCUUCUCCUUCACCAUCAUCUUCAUCCCCUUCACCACCAUCUUCAUCCCCUUCACCACCUUCAUCUUCACCCUAGUCUUCACCACCAUCAUCUUCAUCACCUUCACCUUGAUGUUCAGCACCAUCCCCUUCACCAUCAUCUUCACCACCUUCAUAAUCACCUCCACCAUUGUCUUCACCAUGAUCUUCAUCAUCUUCACCAUGGUCUUCAUCCCCUUCACCACCCUCAUCUUCACCAUCACCUUCACUAUGGUCUUCAUCAUGGUCUUCACCACCUUCAUCAUUCAUCUUCAUCCCCUUCACCAUGGUCUUCAUGACCAUUCCCCUUCACCUUCAUCCCCUUCACCGUCACCUUCACCAUGGUCUUCACCACCAUCACCUUCCCUUUCACCAUCAUCUUCAUCCCCUUCACCACCUUCAUCUUCACCCUGGUCUUCAUUAUGGUCUUCACCACACCUUCACUAUCACCAUCAUCAUCUCCACCACCAUCAUCUUCACCACUUUCUCAAUCACCUCCACCAUCUUCACCAUCUUCUUCAUCCCCUUCACCACGAUGUUCACCACCAUCACCUUCACCAUCCUCUUCAUCCCCUUCACCAUCGUCUUCACCACCUUCAUCUUCUUCACCAUGGUCUUCACCACCAUCACCUUCAUCACCUUCACCCUGGUCUUCACCGCGAGCUUCACCACCUUCACCAUGGUCUUCACGACCAUCACCUUCACCACCACCAUCUUCAUCCCCCUUCACCUUGGUCUUCACCACCAUCACCUUCCCCUUCACCAUCAUCUUCAUCCCCUUCACCAUCGUCCUCACCACCUUCAUCUUCACCCUGGUCUUCACCGUGGUCUUCAUCAUGGUGGUCACCACCAUCACCUUCACCAUGGUCUUCACCACCUUCACCAUCACCUUCAUCACCAUCAUCAUCACCACCACCAUCAUCUUCACCACCUUCUCAAUCACCUCCACCAUCUUCACCUUCACCAUCCUCUUCAACCCCUUCACCACCACCUUCAUCCCCUUCACCGUCCUCUUCACCACCUUCAUCUUCACCCUGGUCUUCACCA
rnacentral:lncRNA from 1 species